CCUCAUUCGGUUCUCAUUCCUGUAUAGUUUAUGUCAUCUACUCAAACACUGUUUAUAUCAUUGAUUUAUUUGUAUUGCUGCUAUAUUUUUCUUCUUCUUCUUUAUUCAUUUUGGUAUAUAGGUUCUGCACAUUCUUCCAUGUUUUUAGUUGGAUAUAUUGGUUCUGCACGAUUUCUUUCACGUUAGAGGAUGACUGAUGGAAUCCAUAAAGAUCUUUGUUGCUUUGCGUCUCGGGUAUCUCUGAGCCUUAUACGAGAACAUAUACAACAUAUACAGUAAGAUAUAAUAGAUGCUACCAACAUAUGUAAGAUUUCAAAGGAGACAAUAAGGUUGCCACUUCUUUUUUCUAUCUAUCCCACCUUGACUGAUUUCGGUAACGGAUCCAAAAGCUUUGAGAUUAGGAUUUGAUGUGAAUUUGAUAGCUAUUGCAUUGCAAGCAAUUUUUGGUGUAUCCCUUCGAAUUAUUGUUCAUAUAUGGGUCAUGAGUAAGAAGGGCCCUCUCUAUGUUGCAAUGUUCAAGCCAAUUGGAAUCAUCUUUGCAGUCAUCAUGGGAAUUGGCUUUCUUGGUGGCUCUAUCUAUCUUGGAAGGUAUAUGUUGUUAGAAAAAUAAAAUAAAAAAUGAAAGAAAAAUAAAUA